GAUGAACGCUGGCGGCGUGCCUAAUACAUGCAAGUCGAGCGAACAGAUGAGGAGCUUGCUCCUCUGACGUUAGCGGCGGACGGGUGAGUAACACGUGGAUAACCUACCUAUAAGACUGGGAUAACUUCGGGAAACCGGAGCUAAUACCGGAUAAUAUAUUGAACCGCAUGGUUCAAUAGUGAAAGACGGUUUUGCUGUCACUUAUAGAUGGAUCCGCGCCGCAUUAGCUAGUUGGUAAGGUAACAGCUUACCAAGGCAACGAUGCGUAGCCGACCUGAGAGGGUGGUCGGCCACACUGGAACUGAGACACGGUCCAGACUCCUACGAGAGGCAGCAGUAGGGAAUCUUCCGCAAUGGGCGAAAGCCUGACGGAGCAACGCCGCGUGAGUGAUGAAGGUCUUCGGAUCGUAAAACUCUGUUAUUAGGGAAGAACAAAUGUGUAAGUAACUAUGCACGUCUUGACGGUACCUAAUCAGAAAGCCACGGCUAACUACGUG
rnacentral:rRNA from 1 species